GACGAACGCUGGCGGCGUGCUUAACACAUGCAAGUCGAGCGGUAAGGCCCUUUCGGGGGGUACACGAGCGGCGAACGGGUGAGUAACACGUGGGUGACCUGCCCUCAGCUCUGGGAUAAGCCUGGGAAACCGGGUCUAAUACUGGAUAUGACUCCAUGACGCAUGUUGUGGGGUGGAAAAGCCUUGUGCGGCUGAGGAUGGGCCCGCGGCCUAUCAGCUUGUUGGUGGGGUGANGGCCUAACCAAGGCGACGACGGGUA
rnacentral:rRNA from 1 species